GGGGAAGUGGUGAAAUUGGUAGACACGCAUGUCUUAGGAACAUGUCUCGUAAGAGGUGAAGGUUCAAAUCCUUUCUUCCCUACCA
rnacentral:tRNA from 1 species